AGAGUGAACGCUGGCGGUAGGCCUAACACAUGCAAGUCGAACGGCAGCACAGGAGAGCUUGCUCUCUGGGUGGCGAGUGGCGGACGGGUGAGGAAUACAUCGGAAUCUACCUUUUCGUGGGGGAUAACGUAGGGAAACUUACGCUAAUACCGCAUAACGACCUUCGGGUGAAAGCCGGGGACCUUCGGGCCUGGCGCGGAUAGAUGAGCCGAUGUCGGAUUAGCUUGGUUGGACGGGUAAAAGCCCACCGAAGGCGACGAUCCGUAGCUGGUCUGAGAGAUGAUCAGCCACACUGGAACUGAGUACACGGUCCAGACUCCGUACGGGAGGCAGUCGAAGGUGGGAAUAGUUAGGACAAGUGGGCGACAAGCCUAGACUCCAGCCAUACCGGCGUAGGGGUAGAAGGAACGGUCCGUUCGGGUUUAACGUUAAACGUCCCGUUUUU
rnacentral:rRNA from 1 species